UUGAUUCCUGCUCAGGAUGAACGCUGGCGGCGUGCUUAACACAUGCAAGUCGAACGAUGAUCUCCAGCUUGCUGGGGGGAUUAGUGGCGAACGGGUGAGUAACACGUGAGUAACCUGCCCUUGACUCUGGGAUAAGCCUGGGAAACUGGGUCUAAUACCGGAUACGACCGUCCCGCGCAUGCGGUGGUGGUGGAAAGCUUUUGCGGUUUUGGAUGGACUCGCGGCCUAUCAGCUUGUUGGUGGGGUAAUGGCCUACCAAGGCGACGACGGGUAGCCGGCCUGAGAGGGUGACCGGCCACACUGGGACUGAGACACGGCCCAGACUCCUACGGGAGGCAGCAGUGGGGAAUAUUGCACAAUGGGCGAAAGCCUGAUGCAGCGACGCCGCGUGAGGGAUGACGGCCUUCGGGUUGUAAACCUCUUUCAGUAGGGAAGAAGCGAAAGUGACGGUACCUGCAGAAGAAGCGCCGGCUAACUACGUGCCAGCAGCCGCGGUAAUACGUAGGGCGCAAGCGUUAUCCGGAAUUAUUGGGCGUAAAGAGCUCGUAGGCGGUUUGUCGCGUCUGCUGUGAAAGACCGGGGCUCAACUCCGGUUCUGCAGUGGGUACGGGCAGACUAGAGUGAUGUAGGGGAGACUGGAAUUCCUGGUGUAGCGGUGAAAUGCGCAGAUAUCAGGAGGAACACCGAUGGCGAAGGCAGGUCUCUGGGCAUUAACUGACGCUGAGGAGCGAAAGCAUGGGGAGCGAACAGGAUUAGAUACCCUGGUAGUCCAUGCCGUAAACGUUGGGCACUAGGUGUGGGGGACAUUCCACGUUUUCCGCGCCGUAGCUAACGCAUUAAGU
rnacentral:rRNA from 1 species